rnacentral:rRNA from 1 species
UACGGGGGGAGCAAGCGUUGUUCGGAUUUACUGGGCGUAAAGGGCGCGUAGGCGGCCACCGCAAGUCGGUUGUGAAAUCUCUGGGCUUAACCCAGAAAGGUCAACCGAUACUGCGGGGCUAGAGUGCAGAAGGGGCAACUGGAAUUCUCGGUGUAGCGGUGAAAUGCGUAGAUAUCGAGAGGAACACCUGCGGCGAAGGCGGCUCACUGGGGAUUUUCUGACGCUGAGGGACGAAAGCCAGGGGAGCGAACGGG